GUCCAUCAUCUCUUUGAUCAUCUUGGCAGCACUCUCAUUGUUCGUGGCAUAUUUCUCACACGCCGUGACACACAGCUCCAUGGCCUCUACGCGCAUCUCCUCCGGCAUGUCUGUGUGCCUAAUCAGCGGAAAGCUGUGCAGUCUCUUAUAAUCAGCUUCCUCCUUCUUCCCCUCCCCAGUGUCGGCCAUGGUCUUUCCCCAGUGACCCCGGGAAGGGGCAGGGGGCCGGGAUGGAGCUCAGCAAGGCACUGCAGUGCAGAUGGCUCAGGGAGCGUGGCUCUGAG
rnacentral:lncRNA from 1 species